AGAGGAAACGGCCUCAGGUUGCAUCAGAGGAGGUUUAGAUUGGAUGUUAGGAAAAAUUUCUUUGAGAGUGGUCAGGCAUUGGAACAGGCUGCCCAGAGAGGUGGUGGAGUCGCCAUCCCUGGAGGUGUUUAAAAGACAUGUAGAUGUGGCACUUCAGGGCAUGGUUCAGGAGACAUGAUGGUGUUGGUCUGACGGUUGGAUCUGAUGAUCCUAGAGGUCUUUUCCAACCUUAAUGAUUCUAUGAUUAAAGGCAGUAGUCUCACUGUGCUCCCCGUCAAGGGCCCAAUGUAAACAAACUCAUCGUUGUAAAGCAGUUUUGCUUUACAAGUAGAGAUGCUUAAAAAUAUACACGUGUCAAUGAAGGAACUAACAAAAAUCCGAAGUACGCUAUUCAGAAAGAGUAGUCACACGCUUCUUUUCUGUAGUAAUUCAGAAUAACAUCAACUUGACUGUUUAAACAAGAUCACAGGAAAAAAAGCCUAAAGAAGCUUGUGGUAGUGUCCUUUGUGCUCUUGCAACUCGUCACAAUUAUAAGGCAAAACAUAAUUCAAAUGAAAAGAGCAGAAAUUAUUUACGUGUGUUUAAAGAGGUUCCCACAUCAUCAAGAGAAAUAGGCGAUGACAGGAGCAAGGGAAGAGCAUUUGAAAUACAGCCAUUUGCUUGAGCGGUCAUCACAUGCCUCCGAUCAUAAGGGAGAUGCAAUCGGACUGGAAUUGCCACUUGCAGAGUCAUCUUGUUUUGGAUCAGAUUUACAACACAGCCCAAGGCACUCAGUGAACUGGGCCAUUACACCCUGACAAUUCCCUGAAGGACUGUAAUUCAGCAUAUUUGCUCCUUUACCAAAGCCUGUUACCAGAACCAGACAAAGCUUUAUAAAGAAGAUCCGUACAUUUACACCUCAGAGCUGUCAUCGGAUCCUGCUGAACACUUGUUUCGUUAACAAG